rnacentral:rRNA from 1 species
CCUACGGGAGGCAGCAGUGGGGAAUAUUGGACAAUGGGCGAAAGCCUGAUCCAGCAAUGCCGCGUGAGUGAUGAAGGCCUUAGGGUUGUAAAGCUCUUUUACCAGGGAUGAUAAUGACAGUACCUGGAGAAUAAGCUCCGGCUAACUCCGUGCCAGCAGCCGCGGUAAUACGGAGGGAGCUAGCGUUGUUCGGAAUUACUGGGCGUAAAGCGUACGUAGGCGGUUAUUCAAGUCAGAGGUGAAAGCCUGGAGCUCAACUCCAGAACUGCCUUUGAAACUAGAUAGCUAGAAUCUUGGAGAGGUGAGUGGAAUUCCGAGUGUAGAGGUGAAAUUCGUAGAUAUUCGGAAGAACACCAGUGGCGAAGGCGACUCACUGGACAAGUAUUGACGCUGAGGUACGAAAGCGUGGGGAGCAAACAGGAUUAGAUACCCUGGUAGUCCACGCCGUAAACGAUGAUAACUAGCUGUUCGGGCUCUACGAGCUUGAGUGGCGCAGACUACGACAUUAAGUUAUUCCGUCCGUCGGGAGGUACGGUCGCGAAGAAUUAAACUAACAAAGAAAGUUAGUACGGCGUGAGACGUAGCCGACGACGACGACGAGGGAGGAGG